UACGAAGGGGGCUAGCGUUGUUCGGAAUCACUGGGCGUAAAGCGCACGUAGGCGGCGCGUUAAGUCAGGGGUGAAAUCCUGGAGCUCAACUCCAGAACUGCCUUUGAUACUGGCUUGCUCGAGUGAGGGAGAGGUAAGUGGAACUCCGAGUGUAGAGGUGAAAUUCGUAGAUAUUCGGAAGAACACCAGUGGCGAAGGCGGCUAACUGGCCCGGUACUGACGCUCAUGUGCGAAAGCGUGGGGAGCAAACAGG
rnacentral:rRNA from 1 species